rnacentral:rRNA from 1 species
AGUGAACGCUGGCGGUAGGCCUAACACAUGCAAGUCGAACGGCAGCACAGGAGAGCUUGCUCUCUGGGUGGCGAGUGGCGGACGGGUGAGGAAUACAUCGGAAUCUACUCUGUCGUGGGGGAUAACGUAGGGAAACUUACGCUAAUACCGCAUACGACCUACGGGUGAAAGCAGGGGACCUUCGGGCCUUGCGCGAUUGAAUGAGCCGAUGUCGGAUUAGCUAGUUGGCGGGGUAAAGGCCCACCAAGGCGACGAUCCGUAGCUGGUCUGAGAGGAGUAUCAGCCACACUGGACCGGAGACACGGUCAAGCACCCUACGGGAGGAAGAAGUGGGGAAAAUUGGAAAAUGGCGCAAGCCUGAUCCAGCCAUACCGCGUGGGUGAAGAAGGCCUUCGGGUUGUAAAGCCCUUUUGUUGGGAAAGAAAUCCAGCUGGCUAAUACCCGGUUGGGAUGACGGUACCCAAAGAAUAAGCACCGGCUAACUUCGUGCCAGCCGCCGCGGUAA